UGGCUGUGAUGACACAAAGGCCGGACUUACGGCUGCCACCGCUUCUUGAGAUGGCAGUAGGGUGAUGUUUUGUUGCGAUAAGGUGUUUGUGUUGAGCCAC